rnacentral:lncRNA from 1 species
CUUACAUUUUGUGGGGGAACUAGUCGUGGACAAUGCCUUCGAUGGUACAUGGCAUUGCUACCGCUGUAAAGGCAGACCGGGCGUUGUUGCCGAUGUAGAGACAGUGCUGGAUCGACUGACACCUAUAAGUUUCAAAAAUUCAAACUUUUUUUUAAAUAAAAUAAAUAGAAAAAAAAAUUAGAAAACAAACAACAAUAAAGUAAAACAAAUAUCUUCAAUUAUUU